ACCACCACAACAUUUCGGGGUUUCGAUCAGCUAGUCUAUAUAUGUAACUUGAAAGAUCAGUAGCUCGUCAAACUGAUAUAAUCCUCUCUUAGCGAGUGGCUUUCUUUCGUCACUGUUUCAUGGAGAAAUGAUUCUCUAUUUGUGCUAGUAUCUCCUAGUCAGCCACUAGUAUAGGUACUUGUGCCUUCAGUGGCUGGCCUUUGCUUUUAAGCCACCAAGCUUCAAUCUGAUGAUCAAAUAUAGUCUCAAAUUCCACUAGUCUUCUCUGCUAGUCUGGUAUACACAGUAGUUUUUUUAAUUUUACGGAGCCUAAUUAUUUGUGGUGAGUGUCUCAGUUCAUCAGCUAAUUGCUUUGGUGCCUAUACAGAAAAAACACCAUCUCCAUGGUGGUGCUAAUAAUGUGGUAGGAGGAUUUUUUUAAUUUUAUGGAGCCUAAUUAUAUGUGGUGAGUGUCUUAGUUCAUCAGCUAAUUGCUUUG
rnacentral:lncRNA from 1 species